rnacentral:rRNA from 1 species
GGAUAACACCUGGAAACAGAUGCUAAUACCGGAUAACAACAGAUGAUGCCUAUCAACUGUUUAAAAGAUGGUUCUGCUAUCACUCUUGGAUGGACCUGCGGUGCAUUAGCUAGUUGGUAGGGUAACGGCCUACCAAGGCGAUGAUGCAUAGCCGAGUUGAGAGACUGAUCGGCCACAUUGGGACUGAGACACGGCCCAAACUCCUACGGGAGGCAGCAGUC